rnacentral:ncRNA from 1 species
GGACGGAGCUUAACGGAUAAAAGCUACCCCGGGGAUAACAGAGUAGUCGCACCCGAGCGUCCAUAGCGACGGUGCGGUUCGCUACCUCGAUGUCGGCUCAACGCAUCCUGGGGCUGAAGAAGGUCCCAAGGGUCGGACUGUUCGCCCGUUAAAGCGUUACGUGAGCUGGGUUCAGAACGUCGUGAGACAGUAAAUAGUUCAAGCGGUCUCAUUCCUCGACGUAACUGAAAUGUAAAUCGAGUGUAAGUGGUGACUUUUGUUAUCAACAACCGUUUCUAAGGAUAUUUGAAACGGUUUAAUUUGAUUAAAAGAUUCAAGAAAACCGUGGACGUUUAGUACACGGAUGAAUUGAACCUGUAUGUAAUUCUCCCUUAGGGGAGAAACCGAGGAUUAAUAAUCCUCGGAGAAUUUCUAUUUGAAUUAAAUUUGAUCUUUUUGUCUAUAUAGAACGAGGAAAUAUAAAUCUGAUCCCGAUCGAGUCAGACUCGACGGGACCGUGCACAUUUUGUGCAUGGCUAAAUGCUGGAAACUCCGGUGUAUCCUGUGCUACCAUAAUUUAAUGGUAAAAAAGCAACAGGUGCGGACAAUCAGCAGGAAAGGUCAAAAUGGUUUUGUAAAAUUUGUAAAGAUACUGUUAAUAACAGUUGUGUUUUUUUUCAUAGCAGAUUGGUUUCAAAAUCGAAUAAUUGGUUCAAAUCAAUUAUCUGAUUUUACCUUGAGGAAAAUAACAUCAAUUAUAACUCUAUUAGUGACGAUCUAUAUCUUAUUCAAGAUAAAUUAUAGAAUUUACAAAUCUUAACCUUUUUGAAAUCCUCAACGACUAUACGUCAGAGUACGUUCAUAUAAAAUGAACGUAGAAGAUAUAGUCUGAUCUCACGGGCGACCGUGAGUUCCGAGAAAUCAUUCGGAAGUAAAAACAAGUGAAGUAUUAACAUACUAAAUGUCGGACUCUAUCCGGUGGAAUCGCAGAAUCUUGAAGAGAGCUGUCCUCAGUACGAGAGGACCAGGAUGGGGAAACCUCUGGUGUGCCGGUUGUCGCGUCAGCGGCAUCGCCGGGUAGCUAUGUUUCUAAUGGAUAACCGCUGAAAGCAUCUAAGUGGGAAGCCAACUCUAAGAUUAGGAUUCAAGUGUGCGUGGCACACAACAGUUAACUCUUAACUGUUAACUUUUAACCUGUUUGUUUUAUACAAAUUGUUAAUUGUUAAUAGUCAAUUGUUGAAGGUUGCGUGCUGCGCACGCAUAGACUCCUGGAAGAAUACCAGGUUGAUCGGAAGGAUGUGGAAGCCCCGUAAGGGGUUAAGCUAACCUUUACGAAUAAGUCGAAUAAAGAUAUAUU